UACGUAGGGGGCAAGCGUUAUCCGGAAUUACUGGGCGUAAAGGGUGAGUAGGCGGCAUGGCAAGUUAGAUGUGAAAGCCCGGGGCUUAACUCCGGGAUUGCAUUUAAAACUGCUAAGCUUGAGUACAGGAGAGGUAAGCGGAAUUCCUGGUGUAGCGGUGAAAUGCGUAGAUAUUAGGAAGAACACCGGUGGCGAAGGCGGCUUACUGGACUGAAACUGACGCUGAGGCGCGAAAGCGUGGGGAGCAAACAGG
rnacentral:rRNA from 1 species